ACCCUUUCUCUUGUCUUAACUUCUCCAUGGCCCUGAUGGUUGUCAAAUGUGGUCUUACAAUGAUUGCUGCAGCACUGCUGAAAAUGCUUGUAAAUUUAUUUAUACAGAUGGAAAGCAGAUGCUCAUGCUCUAACUAUAUAACAUUGGAAAUUGGAUAUGAUUUAUGUGAUGCUGAAUAGGAGGGCAGAUAAAUGCAGGCUCCUGAUGGCCUCUGUCUGCAACUGCAUGUACGUCCAAGAAAAACAAUUUCAGAGUGAUGCUAAAGAGCACUGUGAAUUCACCAGCUUUACCACUCUUACUUUCUCGUUUAUUUGAAAAGCAGUUAAUUUCAAGUACCUAUGUGGCAUAAAUCUUUUAGAGUUCUGUUUUUUUUAUAUAAAUACUGGAAGAACAAGGAAAGGAGAAUGUUUGCUUUGGAAAGAUAGUAACCAAUGACAUAUGAAGACAACAUAAUACAGUGUUGACAUGAUUUUUCUACUUGUAUUUCAGGAUUAAAACCUUUUUUCCACAGUUGAGUUCUACUACACAUGAGUGGAGCAUCCAACAGGAAAUUUCAAAAGCUGCAUAGAAGAAGUGACAGGAAAAGAAAUCACAGUGCCAAUAUUACUGACAGGAGUAAAUUUAUGGAAGUCUAAAGGAAGAGAGUGUAAGUAGUGUGGAAGACACAAGAGUUGCCUUUCAAGCAGGAAGACCACAGAUCAAUUUAUUGUUGCAGAUGAUUCAAAUGGUGGAGCUGAAGAGUAACUGGAUCAGCUGCAGCGGUUUUUUCACUUGUGACAGCACCAGCAAAUGGUGGUUGUUGAUUCACAUGCACUGGAUAAGUGAUGGUAGUUACCAAGCAGGAAGAAAGUUGUUUCAGCACACCACAAACAUCUACUCAGCACCUUAAUGCUUCAAUAAGUCUGUACAUGCACAACAGCCAAGUCCCUUCUCUACCCUGCACACUGUGGUGAGAGCUUUGAGUGCAUAACCAGCAAUCUCUGUUGUAGAUGAGGCAAGGUUUCUCCAUCCCAUUUUUCUGCUCUGAUUACCGGGCUGUGAGAUGAGGGAAAUAAGUAAAGGUAUGGAAAGGAGGAGGAGCAGCAGUUCAGUUCAGAAAGCUGACAAGAAGCUGGAAGAGUGGGGAUAAAGAUGAAGGAAAGGAACAAAAUGAAGCAGGGCAGUAACUUCUGUUCCAGACUGUCAAAGACUGAACUAGCUUAACUGGUUUCAUUUAGUAUUGAAAAAGUCAGAAAAUCAUGAGUCCACUGGAAAUAAAAACUUGAUAUCAAUGAGGAUACUUUAGUGUAAGACGUAUCGAGCAAUUGCACAGAUUUCUUUGUAUUUAUAAAACAUGCAUGAUUAGGAGUUUCUGCCUGCUUCUGCUCAGUUUAUGUAUUAAGGGAUUACUGAAGAUUUGUCUGAAGCCAUCUAGAUCUAUUGCUGUCAGUUAUACUGACGUGUUAUGAGGCAUUGUUACAAUCACAGAUAGUUGGUGUAUUUCAAUUAGCAUCCCAUAUCAUUAUCUUUUCCUAAUCUUAGUUGCAGCAGAGGAGUUGGUUCAGCUCAUUGGUGUUAUCAGUGCUGUCCUGAUACUUUUAGAAACUGCAAUUGUUUGGGACAUGGAAAGAAGUUUUAAAAACACUUUUAUGUUCCAGUAUAACUGAAGAAUACUCCAAGGGGCUCAAAUUUGCUAGGAUAUAAUGACAAUUUAACAGAUACUUCAAAACUCAGCUGUGAAAGGCACUGGAGGAAAGCAAUGUCAAAGUGUUUAUGAAGAGAAUUUGUUUCAGUGCUGUUAGGUACUUUCAAUGUUCAGGGUUUAUGUAAGAGAUACAUUAGCAGACUGCUGGGUAGUUAGUGGGCACAGGGAAGUUAGGGUCAAAUCUUAGCAAUGAGUGAAUUUUCCUGAUCUUGAGUGAUUUAGAAAAAAAAAUGUCAUUCUUUACAUAUUAUUAAUGCAAAAUAAUUUUCUUAUUUUGUAGACUUACAUCAAAUUAUUUUCCAGCAUUCCAGUUUCCUUCCCUAAAAUACAAUGCAUUAGACUUGACUCUUCUGAGUGUGUGAAUAUAGUAAAAGUAAUACUGGCAGCCAUAAUGUCUAUAAACCUAGUUAUCAUACAAUCAAAAUUUCAUUUACGUAGGUAUAUUUCAUAUCUCUGUGGCUUUCUCUUUCCCUCUUUAGGAUUCCAGACAUCUCUGGUGAGUAAGCUCUGGUGCUGGUGCCUCACUGUGAUUUCUGUUUCAGUAGCACUUCUGACAGCUGACAUCUCCAAAGUUGCUUAUCCUUACUAAUUGUCAAGUAGAAGGUCUAAAUUAAGCCAUAGUUUCACAAACAUAUUUAACUGCCAUAAGGUGGAAAUGUGUGUGAAAGAAGUCCUUUCCCCUGAGUUAGAACAACCCUUUAUACUUUCCUACCGCAGACUGGAGUGGGGAACCAAAAGUGAGAACAGAAGAAGUUUAUCCUUAACCUAGAUAAUUUUUCCAUUCAAUUCACACUAGUUCAAGUACUAUGGUGUGUUAUAGUUUUCUGAUUCAUUUGUCUCUACCAUAGUUUCUAAGUUAUUAAAUAAUGCUUAUUAAAAACCACUCCAAUAACAAAGAAACAAAAGAAACAAACAAAAAAACUGACCCCAAAUCCCAAGGAAAAACCACCUCAAAAACCCACAAGUAAAAAUGCAAGACAUGUAUGGAAACUCAGAAACUCAACACCAUUGUAUUAGAACUUUCAUUCCUUAUGACUAAAGGAAAACUUGUCUGUGUACACCUAAUAUUUCAAGUUUCAGUUUAUAAUUUUUUGUUCUGUAAGAAGAUUUUUUAGAAAAUACUGUAUUGCUCUAAGCUGUCUCAGUAGUUUGGAUGUGUCACCUCAUACAAAGCCUUAUGUUCUUCCCUAAGUUUAAUCAUAAUAAUUAAAACAUACUCAAGACCAGCCUUUAAAAUACAUAGCUUUAUUUUCCAUGCCUCUGGUAGUUUUAUAGCCUCAAAAGUGAUGCAAGAAGUCUUAAUUUUGUCUUUCAAGCAUUGAAUUUGCAGUUCAGGCAUUACUUUCCUCAAAGUUUUACCCAGCAGAAAACUGCUUUCUUGUUCUUUCAAUGUUUUAUUCACAAUCAUCCUUUUUCUUGUCACCUCCAAAGUAGGCUAUUCCAUGUGUAGCUACUGAUUUACCAGCCAGUCAUUUCAUCUGCCCACAAGAGAAGUAAAAGUUGUGUAGGUGAUUAACUUCACUUCUGACUGACAAUUUUUAAACCUGAAUCCUUUGUAACAUUUCCUGGGGGAUACCUCUCCCUACCCAAUGUUGAUGCAAUAAUUAGACCUAAGAAUGGCUUCAAUGCAGUCCAUAAUUGAUACACAGUGCCACCUGUUGAGAUGUCCUCAUUCUGGUUAUGCCACCUUCCAAAAACACCGUCUUCCACCAGUGAAAGUUGAGGGGUGUUGAGGCAGACUAAGUCAGCUACUUCCAUUUCAGGAGAGUGCUGUGCUCAGUUCUGUGUGGAGGAAUUCCAUCUGUUACUCUGUUGUAGUAUAGUCAAAUACAUUUUUGUGUGACAUGAAGAUGUGCCUUGGCAGAGGCACAGUGAGAUGGCAUCAGGGUGGGUGUGUUAAGGCAGAGGCAGUGCCCUGGUGAGGCAGGAGGAAGACCCAGUAUUGUGGUUUGGCAGCUACCAUAGGCAAGGGAUACGAUAACUUGGGUAUGUGGGAAUUGUAUAAAAUGUGGAGUAAGGAAUAAGAUGGCAUCCACUCAGUAAAUUUACUUCCUCUUUAAACUUGGCUUUCACCUUUUGGUUGUGUGUCCCUGUAUUAUUUAUUCUGUGAAGAUCUGUGAAUUUUUAGGCACAUAAAAAAAAUUAAAAUUGUUUGGUUGGGUUGCUUUCUGUAUUUUGAGUAUGCAUAAUAAAUGAUUAGUGAAGAAUGAAUAGAAUCUGGGGAUUAAUAUAAUUUCCUCUUGAGGAUUUGCAUGACUUGAAAGUGCUUCAUGCAUAACUACCUUUGCUAUAGCCAUGUUUUCAAAGGAUCAGAAGAGAUUUUUUGAAGAAGUCUUUAUUCAAUUUAAGAUAAAUCUUUGAAUUCCAGAGAUCUUUUUAUGAAGCAAGUGGCUCCAUGACUACCUUUUACAAAUUAGGUUGUGUAUAUGUUUAUUACCAUACAGUUGAUUUUUUUUCAAUUUCUGUGCUAAUUUUUCUUCAGUUAUUCAGAGUCAAAAUCAGGGAUUUUUAAUCACUUCUUAAUGUCUGACAGGACAUAUAAUAAUAUUAAGACAUAAUCUACCAUGAGGUAGAGUUUUGUCAUUCUAGCAUCCUGCCACCCCGCCUCUAAUAGCUUUUUAUCACUUUUGGCUGCCUCAGUUUAUCAAACUGAGUCAUGCCAUCAGGAAGCAAACUCUGCCUAAGCUGAAUGGAAGGAUUCCCAGAUAGUGGUUUUUUUUAAGUCAUCAUGAUAUAGUUAUUCCACAUUUGUGAAAAACCUUGAGAACUUCUCCCUGUCUCAAACCCUUACUCAAUCACUGAAUUUCAGAAAUGCAAUUUCUAGCAGCAAUAUACCUUUUGAUAAAGAAUAUACAUUAAUUUGCUUUUUUGAAUAACCUUUUUUCUGAUAUGAAUAUAUAAGCCAUGCAUUUGGAAAUAAUUGAUUAACCUAAUUCAUACAUAUGUCAUGUAAUUAUACAUGUUUCAGUAAUUUUAAAAAUUAUUUUUUUUUUUAGCUUUAAAGGAUUUCAUCAGAGCAGGACUCCCCUCCAAAUGAAUAGAAUAAUCCUUCUUCAUCUUUGGGCUGUCUGCCAAGAUUCAUGAGUAUGGCAAAAAAAUUAGACUGAAUGCUUUAAAAUUAGACCUGACUUGUCUCUUCACAAAUGAUAAUAAAAUGGAAGAAAUAACUCCCUUGUAUUCCAGGUUCAGUAAAUGUACCAAGAUUCUGGGGGCUAAAAUGGGGAGACUGGGUUGAUUCUGCAGUAGAGUUGCUGAGCAGGGGGUUAGAUUUUGAAGCAGGCUGCCAGCAUGCUCUGCAGCAGUUUGCAGGUGUAAGGACAGCAACCUUUCACAGUUUGUGCUCUCAGAAAUCCACUGAUAUUGUUGAUGCCUUUAAGAGAAUAUUGAGAAAUUAAACAAAUUUCUGCUUCCUUAGAGGCUUUUAGAAUAAAUUACCACUACAAAGUCUGGAGGUAUGAACUGUCUAAAAUGUCUUCUUCACUACAUAGGCUCAGGGAAGUGUCUAUGUUACUGUAGUAAAUAGUGAAACCUGCUAGUGGUAUUUCUUACGUAUGUAGGAACAGAUACUGAUAGUGACUCUUUGGCUUUUGUGGGGUUUGUUCCAAGUGCUGAAUGUAAACUAAUUGAAUAAUGAAAUUCAAUAAUUAAAAAGGAAAAAAAAAAGCAGUAGUAUUCAUGGUCACAAUAUUUUGGGGAUUAAAUGGGAGCAAAAAAAUACCCUGAAUAGUACCUGUGAAUUUAUUGUUUCAAGGUGAUUGGUAUGACAUGUGCUUAUUAGUUGUGUUUUGCUGAUUUUUUUUUUUUUAGGGCAAAAUUGAAAGCCUGAUUACAUGUGCCAUGCAAAGUGCAUGGUAACUUGAGGAAUAGCCAGGAAUGGUACAAAAAACUGCAGGCUGGUGAUUCCUAUGAACUGAAGAAGUUCCUUCUGUCUCCUGACUUUGCCAUCCAAAGAAUUACUGGUUUCAAAACCACUUUUGAAAGCUAUCAAAUUUCACGUUAAUCUCCUCGGGAGGAGAAAGAAUGAGUUUCUGGAUGGGAAGGCAAGCCAGAGCUGAUGCACAGUGAAUAACAUGAGAGGCAUAAUGUUACUUGGAAGGAUCUCUGACAAUUCCACAGAAAUUCUGACGUGUUGUGAGAGAGAGCUCAAUCUCCUUCCCAGAGGACUCAUUUAGACCUGGAGCUUUCAGAAGGGUUCAGCCAGUUGUUCUCAGGUGAAAGAACAGAGAGAUUUUUAUUGCUGGAUUUCCUUUGCAAGUCCACCUUUGGACAUGAGGAGACCAAAAUCUGCAUUUUGCAAGGCAAUGAUUGAAAGCUGACAUAAAUUGAGAUGCUGGUUCUGGGAGGAAGAUGGUCUCUGUCAGGACUGUGAUAGGCAUCCCAGUAUUGCACUGUAAGCAAUUGAAGAAGGAAGAGUGGACACAUGUCUUUCUCAAGGUCACAUUGCCAGCUUCCAAUAAAAGUUAAAAACUGCUAAAGUAAAUAUGAUCAAGGAAACAAUUUUGCUUCAUUAAAGUACCUUAAACAAUAGAAAUUGCUGAAUUCACCUGAGGUGACCUGUUAAAAAUAGGAACAGGAAAGUAUUUUCCCUUAUUGAUUUCUAAGGACUUUUCUAAGGAUUUGAGUAUAUGCAGCUGAAUUUUGAAGAAUUACCCACUAGGAAUGAUUGAGAAAGAGAGAAUUCCUACAGUGGGUUUCUCUCAGAUGUCAUUGCUUUGCAGUGUGGGAUCAGUUUGAAAUAGAUUAGCAUAAAGAGCUAAUAUCAUUUGAUGAUGAGGCAUUUUAGGCAUUGCUUUUGUCUGUUUAUGUCUGGUUUUGGUUUUUUGUUUGAUUUACUCUGCCUGAAAUCAAGCCAUAGUGGCUUACAAGGACAUUUAGUUUACUUUCUCACAUAAGAGAAGGAAAAAGAGACAGCUACAUCAAAAAGAUGAGCAGGAUAAGCAAAAUGACAGACUCAUGUCUCUUUGUCCUGCAAACUUCAAAAUACUAUUCUUGAUUUUGCAAUUAUUGUGUUAAUUGUUUUUAUUUCAGAGUUUACUUAAAUGAAAAAUCAAUUAAUGGUAGCCAAAAUAGUACUUAUUCUGACAAAUGUUUUAAAACAAGGCACUCUGGAAGUUACUGAAUUUUCUUUAGAUGAGACUGUAUUAGUGUCUUUUUAAUGCUUUUGUGCAGUGCUGCUAAGCUCAGCAUUAGACAAAGGAUUACUUAAGUGUGUAUGCACUUAGGGUAAUCCUAAGUGUAAAAUGUGUAUGCAAACCUACGGUGCUGGCAAGGAUCUUGCAUUGUAAAUAAUAAAACACUGGCUAUCUAUCAGCAAAGGGAACCUCAGAACCUGGGAUUUGCAGAAUAUCACUGACAGCCCCUGAAUCCUCCUGCUCUACCAGGGACUACCCUCAACAUGCAGAGAUUUGGGACAUCUCUCGCGUUGGACCACUGUGUCAUUCAGCACUGAAUGAAGGUUGAUGUGUUUAGUACAAAGGUAUUAUCCUAAAAGACUUGUCUCAUUCGUACUAAGCUUUAUCUUUGGGUUGGUGAAGGAGGGAUGAAGACAGAAGCACACCCUGACCUAGAUGCCUGAGCACCAUCCGUAUUUCACUCUACCUAGUUUGAAGGCUGAACAGUCUUUUACCUAUGAGACCUUGUAGUGUGCAAGUUCCAAAUUUGGAUGUGGAAUACAUAACCUGAGGAACUUUGAUUACUGCUCAAUAAGUCCUCUGUGGAAAAUACCUACAGACACUAGAGACUUGAAAAGUUACCUGAGACACGGGCUUCUUUACGUAAUUGUGACCUCUUAUAUUGUAAACUAUGCCCAAGUGACUAGGAACAUCUUGGGAAGAAAAGCAAGAAACCAAAACGGGAUCUAUAUUAUUUCCUGGAAGGAUCCAAAUGAUGGAAAUAAGAAGAAGAAUACAGGAGCUUUAACUUUCUUUGGUGGGAACCAAAGCGAUCUAUUGAAAACAUUUAACAGGUCACCCACCCUUUUGUUACCCUGCAGUUAUUAAGCAUAUUUCUAAAAUUUGUGGUAAAGCAAAAUACAAGUAUCACUUUUCUAUAAAGAACUAUAUCUGAAUUAUUUUUCUUUUCUUCCCAAAAAUACAGACAUUUCAAAGACUUGAAAAGACAUUAAAACUUAAUUAAAAUAAUAUGGUUUGUUUGACUGGUCUGGACCCAUGUUAAUUAAAGAAUGACCAAAAUAAGGUACUUGGAUCCAGAGUGGAAUUUAAGUGAUGAAUUUAUGCCUUUUAGCUAAAAGUGAGUACUGAUUGUAUCUUCACGUGUUGCUAGAGGGGAUAACCAGUCUUGCAAACAUGUUCACUGUAGUAGGUCCUUCAGGAUUUUGUGUUAGCCAGUUCUGCAUCUGUGUUAAAUCAAUAUCACAAAUGGUGCAUGCUGGGGGCUAUUUAGGAGGGGUUAGGGGAAAAAAAAAAGGGGAGGAAAAAAAAGGCACCUUAUUGCUUUUAGUGCUAAUGGUACAUUUAUUAUGCUGAACCAUAAAUCUGCUUUGCCUGAUACUGUUCUUAGGCAUCAAUAACUCAUGGCUUGGAGUUCAAGAAUUUCUAGAAAUGUUCUGAUGGAUAACCAACAACUUAAUCUCCAAAACUAAGUGUGGUUCUUUUCUUGCUCUUAGGCUCAUAAAACUUAGUUUAGGGAGAUGCUAAAAAUAAUUAAAAUCUAAAUUCAACAUCCUGGAAUCAGUGACACAAGAAAAUCCAACAAAAAAGCCUGCCAGCACUAAUUAUUUUCAGUUGAUAAAGAUCAUUCAUUUAGUCAAAAUAAAUAGGCAUAUUUAUUGAAUGGUUAAUUAACUGCUUUUUCAUUUUUCAACUUUUUUCUUUCCUCUUAUUUUUGCCAUUCUCUUUUAG